AUCCAGAGAUUUCCGAAUGGGGGAACCCAACAUGAGUUAUGUCAUGUUAUCGACAUGUGAAUUCAUAGCAUGUCAGAAGGCAGACCCGGAGAACUGAAACAUCUUAGUACCCGGAGGAAGAGAAAGAAAAAUCGAUUCCCUGAGUAGCGGCGAGCGAAACGGGAAGAGCCCAAACCAACAAGCUUGCUUGUUGGGGUUGUAGGACACUCUAUACGGAGUUACAAAAGAACAUGUUAGACGAAUCAUCUGGAAAGAUGAAUCAAAGAAGGUAAUAAUCCUGUAGUCGAAAACAUAUUCUCUCUUGAGUGGAUCCUGAGUACGACGGAGCACGUGAAAUUCCGUCGGAAUCUAGGAGGACCAUCUCCUAAGGCUAAAUACUCUCUAGUGACCGAUAGUGAACCAGUACCGUGAGGGAAAGGUGAAAAGUACCCCGGAAGGGGAGUGAAAGAGAACUUGAAACCGUGUGCUUACAAGUAGUCAGAGCCCGUUUAUGGGUGAUGGCGUGCCUUUUGUAGAAUGAACCGGCGAGUUACGAUCUGAUGCAAGGUUAAGCAGCGAAUGUGGAGCCGUAGCGAAAGCGAGUCUGAAUAGGGCGUUGAGUAUUUGGUCGUAGACCCGAAACCAGGUGAUCUACCCUUGGUCAGGUUGAAGUUCAGGUAACACUGAAUGGAGGACCGAACCGACUUACGUUGAAAAGUGAGCGGAUGAACUGAGGGUAGCGGAGAAAUUCCAAUCGAACUUGGAGAUAGCUGGUUCUCUCCGAAAUAGCUUUAGGGCUAGCCUCAAGUGAUGAUUAUUGGAGGUAGAGCACUGUUUGGACGAGGGGCCCCUCUCGGGUUACCGAAUUCAGACAAACUCCGAAUGCCAAUCAAUUUAACUUGGGAGUCAGAACAUGGGUGAUAAGGUCCGUGUUCGAAAGGGAAACAGCCCAGACCACCAGCUAAGGUCCCAAAAUAUAUGUUAAGUGGAAAAGGAUGUGGCGUUGCCCAGACAACUAGGAUGUUGGCUUAGAAGCAGCCAUCAUUUAAAGAGUGCGUAAUAGCUCACUAGUCGAGUGACACUGCGCCGAAAAUGUACCGGGGCUAAACAUAUUACCGAAGCUGUGGAUUGUCCUUCGGACAAUGGUAGGAGAGCGUUCUAAGGGCGUUGAAGCAUGAUCGCAAGGACAUGUGGAGCGCUUAGAAGUGAGAAUGCCGGUGUGAGUAGCGAAAGACGGGUGAGAAUCCCGUCCACCGAUUGACUAAGGUUUCCAGAGGAAGGCUCGUCCGCUCUGGGUUAGUCGGGUCCUAAGCUGAGGCCGACAGGCGUAGGCGAUGGAUAACAGGUUGAUAUUCCUGUACCACCUAGUAUCGUUUUAAUCGAUGGGGGGACGCAGUAGGAUAGGCGAAGCGUGCUGUUGGAGUGCACGUCCAAGCAGUAAGGCUGAGUGUUAGGCAAAUCCGGCACUCGUUAGGCUGAGCUGUGAUGGGGAGAGGAAAUUGUUUCCUCGAGUCGUUGAUUUCACACUGCCGAGAAAAGCCUCUAGAUAGAUAACAGGUGCCCGUACCGCAAACCGACACAGGUAGUCAAGAUGAGAAUUCUAAGGUGAGCGAGCGAACUCUCGUUAAGGAACUCGGCAAAAUGACCCCGUAACUUCGGGAGAAGGGGUGCUCUUUAGGGUUCACGCCCAGAAGAGCCGCAGUGAAUAGGCCCAAGCGACUGUUUAUCAAAAACACAGGUCUCUGCUAAACCGUAAGGUGAUGUAUAGGGGCUGACGCCUGCCCGGUGCUGGAAGGUUAAGAGGAGUGGUUAGCUUCUGCGAAGCCACGAAUCGAAGCCCCAGUAAACGGCGGCCGUAACUAUAACGGUCCUAAGGUAGCGAAAUUCCUUGUCGGGUAAGUUCCGACCCGCACGAAAGGCGUAACGAUUUGGGCACUGUCUCAACGAGAGACUCGGUGAAAUCAUAGUACCUGUGAAGAUGCAGGUUACCCGCGACAGGACGGAAAGACCCCGUGGAGCUUUACUGUAGCCUGAUAUUGAAAUUCGGCACAGCUUGUACAGGAUAGGUAGGAGCCAUUGAAACGUGAGCGCUAGCUUACGUGGAGGCGUUGGUGGGAUACUACCCUAGCUGUGUUGGCUUUCUAACCCGCACCACUUAUCGUGGUGGGAGACAGUGUCAGGCGGGCAGUUUGACUGGGGCGGUCGCCUCCUAAAAGGUAACGGAGGCGCUCAAAGGUUCCCUCAGAAUGGUUGGAAAUCAUUCACAGAGUGUAAAGGCAUAAGGGAGCUUGACUGCGAGACCUACAAGUCGAGCAGGGUCGAAAGACGGACUUAGUGAUCCGGUGGUUCCGCAUGGAAGGGCCAUCGCUCAACGGAUAAAAGCUACCCCGGGGAUAACAGGCUUAUCUCCCCCAAGAGUUCACAUCGACGGGGAGGUUUGGCACCUCGAUGUCGGCUCAUCGCAUCCUGGGGCUGUAGUCGGUCCCAAGGGUUGGGCUGUUCGCCCAUUAAAGCGGUACGCGAGCUGGGUUCAGAACGUCGUGAGACAGUUCGGUCCCUAUCCGUCGUGGGCGUAGGAAAUUUGAGAGGAGCUGUCCUUAGUACGAGAGGACCGGGAUGGACAUACCUCUGGUGUACCAGUUGUCGUGCCAACGGCAUAGCUGGGUAGCUAUGUAUGGACGGGAUAAGUGCUGAAAGCAUCUAAGCAUGAAGCCCCCCUCAAGAUGAGAUUUCCCAACUUCGGUUAUAAGAUCCCUCGAAGAUGACGAGGUUAAUAGGUUCGAGGUGGAAGCGUGGUGACACGUGGAGCUGACGAAUACUAAUCGAUCGAAGACUUAAUCAA
rfam:Staphylococcus capitis strain CR03 genome assembly, contig: BN1517_Contig_23